rnacentral:rRNA from 1 species
UUGGAAGUAAAAGUCGUAACAAGGUUGCCGUAAUGAACCUGCGAAAAGAUCAUUG